rnacentral:rRNA from 1 species
GACGAACGCUGGCGGCGUGCUUAACACAUGCAAGUCGAACGGAAAGGCCUGCUUUCCCUUGUGGAUUGCGGGUACUCGAGUGGCGAACGGGUGAGUAACACGUGAGUGAUCUGCCCCCAACUUGGGUAUAAGCCUGGGAAACUGGGUCUAAUUCCCGAUAGGACUGCAGGGUGGUGCCUGUGGUGGAAAACGAUUUUCUAGUGGUUGGGGAUGAGCUCGCGGCCUAUCAGCUUGUUGGUGGGGUAAUGGCCUACCAAGGCGGCGACGGGUAGCCGGCCUGAGAGGGUGGACGGCGACAUUGGGACUGAGAUACGGCCCAGACGCCUACGAGAGGCAGCAGUGGGGAAUAUUGCGCAAUGGGCGGAAGCCUGAUGCAGCGACGCCGCGUGGGGGAUGACGGCCUUCGGGUUGUAAACUCCUUUCGACCGCGAGGAAGCCACCUGGUUGGAAGGGUGGUGACGGUAGUGGUAGAAGAAGCACCGGCUAACUACGUG